rnacentral:lncRNA from 1 species
UCAGGUCAUUUGAGUUUGGAUACAUGCUGGACAUUUGAAAUGUUUUGAUUUGUCCAAUUUGAGUUAGAUCCCACGUUUUAUUUUGGCAAAUUUCCAUCGUGUGUCCCAACCUUGUGAUUGUUAGAUCUUCGACGUCACUUAAUGAAGUCAGAUCCAACGCUCUGUGUUUUUUCUAUUUUUUUAUUUCUUUUUAUUUUUUAUUUUAAA